rnacentral:rRNA from 1 species
AUGAUCACGGGCUCGGGCGUGUGCCGCGUCGUGGAGACGAUGGCGCCGCUGUACACGGCGGCGGCGCUAGGCUACGCGUCGGUGCGCUGGCUCGGGGCCUUCUCCGAGGAGCAGUGCGCGGGGAUCAACCACUUCGUCGCCACUUACGCCCUGCCGGCUCUCGUCUUCGACAUGGUCUCCACCAACGACCCCUACGCCAUGAACGCCCGCCUCGUGGCCGCCGACACGCUGCAGAAGGGGGCCAUGCUGCUCGGCCUCAUGGCGUGGGCCGCGUGGCCCUCAUCCCGCUGCCGCGGCGGCAACUCUGCGAUGCGGUGGGUGGUGACCGCCUUCUCCGUGGCGCAGCUGCCCAGCACGAUCAUCAUGGGCGUGCCGCUCCUCGGCGGCAUGUACGGGCCCGCGUCCAAGGACCUCAUGAAGCAGAUCGUCGUGAUGCAGUUCUACCUCUGGUACAACGUCGUCAUCUUCAUGUACGAGUACAUGGCGGCGACGGACGGCAGCACCAAGGCCAUCCUCAUCUGA